rnacentral:misc_RNA from 1 species
GUCGCCGACUCGUCUCUCUCUUUGUAAAGAAGCACUUUGCGGUUUUCUGGGUUCUAAGCUCCCUCAAGCGGCACAGACCCGGCGUGCCGUGGUGGCCCAUUUGCCCUCGGAGGGUCGGUCAUUGAGGGGGCGAACAGCGGAUCCAGUGGGGUCGACGCUACCCCAGCUACGCUGGUGGAUGGCAGCACUAGAAUUGUACGGCUCCUCUUCGUCUCUGUAGAGACUCUCACUGCACUGGCGAGCUCGUCACAUAGCGGGAGGAAGAGAGGGCGAGAAACCUAUCUUGCCCUAACGCCCAGCGCGUCCCCGCACGUACACAUACGCUCACCCCAUCGUCUGUACAAGACAACACACACACACACAGACACAAGACAACGUCAGUACGGCGCAUUGUGGAUCUCCGCCACACGCAACUGCCGCUCUGCACCGUUCAUCUUUCCUCACGGCUGCUUCGGCCUCUUUUAUCGUCUCGCCCCUCGCUCGUUGUGGCGAAAAAGGGGUAACAACGAACACCUCUGUGCAGCGCGCCGAGCUCACUUGCUGCUUCUUUGACCUCUGCACACCUCCAACGCAUCGCGAUUCACCGACGUCUCCCCGCACAACGUAGAGCGCCAAGAGACACACAGCCACCCACGUGCGAAGGGGAAGAAGCGAAGACGUGCAAUACACCGAGAGAGGGGGGGGGUCAAACAAACGGCGAUAGGGCGUCAUCAUCCUCGCUGCUGCUGCUGCACUCUCUCGUGCGCAUCCUUUCUCCUCGUUUUCACAGGUCCACCUCAUCGCACGGAGACGGUGUGAUGCGCUGUCGAGAAGCAGCGGCAAGGCGACGUGCUAUAAACUCGACUCUUUUCCUCUUUUUUUUUUGCUCGCCCUCGCCAGCACUGACCAUCUUGGCGCGUACGUGCGUGUGUGCGUGGUAGUGUGUUGGCGUGCCGUUGCGGCACUGACGCACAGACACCCCUCUGCGCUGCGGAGGGGUCACCUCCACACGCGGACAACGACGAGGGACACAAAACAUACGGACGACGGUCACGGAAAAGUGCAAGGCGCCUCUGCCUCCGCCGCGUCGGUACCCCUGCGUCUCGCUGCGACGGCUGAUUAAAGACGAUUGGUGUUUCUCAAAACAGCGUAGUGCUCCGCCACCGAACUUCCCCUGUACCUUUUCUGGACUUGCCACGUAGUGUUGCACACGCACGACGGAGUGCGCGCGCGCGUUGGCGGGGAUGUUUCAAUGCCCCCGUGAGCACGUGGCAGCACUCAAGGAGGUGAAGCGGACCGUGGGGAUCAACCACAGCUACCUCGAUGGGUGGAUUUAUCUCUUCCUCGCCAACAAAAAAUUCGAUGUUGCGGAGACGGUCGCCAAGCUGCGACGGCGCGAUGAUAUGGAGCGCACGGUAUUCGCCAAGUACACUAUGACGGACAGUCUGCGCAAAUCGAUGCGGGCGGGCAUUGUGCAGUACAUUGGAAGAGAUAAAGAAGGGCAUCCGGUGCUCUACUUCAACACCGCGCGCGACAGCCCCAAGGCGGAGCAGCGGCCGGAGCGGCAGGCGAACAUGGAUAUGUUUCUCAGCUGGUGUGUGCGCUGCGACCGAAAGAACCCGGCGGCGAUGGUGACGUGGCUCAUCAAUCAAGAAAACGCUUCGAUGCUUCGCAACACGGACCUGAUCUUCCAGAAGGAGAUGGCACUGCGCAUCAGCAAGUUCUUCCCUGGCGUCGUUUCCCGCAUGUUCAUCUGCAACAUGAGUAGUGCGCUGACGUUUGUGAUGAAGCCGCUGCUACGGCAGCUGCCCAAGGUGAUCAGCGACUGCAUUUUUCUCUUCUCCGCCGGCGACAUCAGGAAGGGCGAGCUGCUGAAGCGCAUCGACGCGAGCGUGCUGCCGGUCGAGAUGGGCGGGUGCAACGACUGCGACCAUCCGCCAAACUACGAGCGCUUUGCGACGACCAUCGAGUCCUACUUCGACCGCUGCAUCCGAGCGCUCAGCAAGGGCAUCUCCAUCAAAGAAAUGGAGGUGAUGGAGGAGUUUGGCGUCGACAAGGACGGCGCGCCCGUCGCUCUAGCAGGUGAAGGUGCGGCCGCAGGACACGGCAGUCCCAUAUACCCCUCCAACGGCUCAGCCGUCAUGCGAGAUACAGAGGCGUACCGAGGCAUCUCUACUCCUCGGUCGGCCAUGCCCACGACGGCGAGCGAGGAGACGCUCGACUUCGCCAUCAUGCAGGAUCCGUGCGCCGUGUCGGUGGAUGCGGAAAGGCGGAGGAUUACGGUUCAGAGCGCCGUCCGGCCAGGCCGAGAAGGGUUGCCUCUCACGUCGCCCACGAACGGCGCCACCGCCAUCGCCUGGAAUACGUCGUUCGGUUCGACGCCGACGGCUUCGCCAUCGCUCCUUAACCACGUGUCAAGCUCUGAGCUUUUCGAGUGCGUUAGCGAGCCGGGUGAAUCCAUGGAGGACUUCCUCGACGCUACCAUCACGAGGGAGGGGCUGUACCGGGUGCACCUUAACUCGAUUGAGGAGUUCUCAUACUCGGCGGUGCUGCGCAAGGUGUUUGCGCAGGGCCAGGGCGGCGGCGGCGGCGCCAUCGCAGAGCAGCAGGAUGCAUGUCUCCGUGACUGGAUCUCUUUCCGCUGCCACUGCGUGGAGCUGGUACCAAAGCUGGAGCACCUCUUGCAGGCACUGCGACUGGGUGCAGUGCUGCCAGCAGAGGAAGAGGAUCUGACCACCCAGCUGCGCCGCUGCAGCCACUUCAUGCUGAACCUCUUCCCACAGACGCGACAGACGUUGCCCUUUCCUUUGUUGGACUGGUACGCGGCGGGGUCGACGGCGUGCCACCGCAGUGCUGAUGCUGCCGCAGUCUCGUUCACGGGCAAGGAGGAGGCGGCAGCUCACGCAGUCGUAGACCUGUUUGCUGUGAACCCGCGGCGGCUGGCGUUCCGGCUAGACUGCACGUCUCCCGACAAUGUCCUUCUCUCUGCUCAGGCCGGCGCUAUCGAGUUUGUGGAGAACUGGGAUGACUUGAUUGCGGUGGACGAACGCAAGAAGCGGGUGGUGCGCCGCCUUCUCCUGACGUGGCCUCCGCAGACGGAUCGCUGCACCUUCGAGGCGCAGCUCCACGCCAGAGCGCGCCAGCUGUGGGCGCAGCUCACACCGCUGUUCCGCGUCUACAUCGAGGCCAAGGUGGGCAUCUCCAUCGCGGAGUUCAUCCAGCACUACGGCCUGCUCGUGCCAGGUGGCCGCAUUGAUGAGACGGCGGAGUGGUACCGGCUGCUUUAUGCGGCGGUGCUGCAGUACCGCGAGCUGCACCGCCGCAAUUGGCUCUUCUACGUCUUCCCCCCACUGAGGCAUGCCGGCGCGACAGCAGACGAGCCGCCAACGAUGGAGAGGCUCUUGCAGGCUCGCGGGGACGCCGGCGCGGAUGUGCAGGCCGCGAUCUCGCUCAUGACGCUGGUGGAGCAGUCACUGCGCUACACCGCCGAUCAGCUGCGCACGAACGGCGCCGGCGGUGCCGUGGCGACGCGCACCAUUGUGGAGCGCUACAUUGAGGUGAGCAAGGCAAAGAUCUCCAUCCCGUACGAUACCCAGCGCUCCGGCGUGCUGCCCAGCGAGAGCAUUGCGCAGUACAAGCUGGCCGCCGCAGCGUGCCUGAGGAACGUGGAGGCACCGCUGCAGGAGUUUCUCUUCACGAUCGUGAGCCUGGCAGUGCUCAAGCAGGAGUACCCGCCCGACAUGAGCAAGGGGGAGAUCAUGUCGAGACUGCAGCUAGCCAAGACACAGAGCGAGGCGGACAUCCAGAAGCGCCGCCAGCACCAGCGAGUUGCCAUCUCAUUUGCGCGUAUCUGCUCCGAGCUCCAGGGCAGCUUUGGCAAUGAUAUCCACAACUUGCUGACGACAUAUUCCGCAGCAGGCAUGCAGGCGGACGGGUACGCGCUGGGGCUGGAACUACUGCUGGCCGUCGCCAUUCUGAGAUGCCGGCGGAACAGCGACGGCAGCGGUGGACUUGACGGGGCGUCCUCGUCGACCCCGGCUGACAUUAUGCCUGCGGCAACCGCCUUUAGCGAGGACGAUAGCUCCACAGGGGGUGUUGACGCCGCGGUGCGUGAUUCAGCAGCGCCUCCCUCCCUGGACGUCGAGUCUCUGCGGGAGACACUGAACGCGAUGAGCCACUCCGCGUCCCGACUCGCAUCCCUCAAGCGGAUGUACAUCUUCUGACACACGGUGCGCGCUUUUGUGGCAGGGUUCCGUGUCUCCUAGCUGCCAGGCGUAUGCCCGCUUGAUAGUGUGGCGGUGCAUGUCUGAAUGCCACGGCGUGCAGUUGCGGCGGAGCAGGAGGCGGGGCGUACGCGUUGUCCGCCUUCUUCGAUUCCCGUCGCUUUCUCUCGCUGCCGCACUGUCCAGAACGGAGCCUUGAUUGCCCCCUCCCUCUGCUGGUAUCUGCUUCUUACUUGCAUGUUCAUCAACGGCUACACAGCUGUCAGUACCGUUGUUACACACACGACAGCGUACGGUGUGUCUGUUUUCCUAUUCAGCGUGUUCAUCCUCUGCCGUAAAACUUAGGCUCUGCUUCAGCCCACCUCCGCCCUGCCCUCGGAGGGCCCAUCGUGUGGCGCGUAGCGGCCGUAGACAGGUGCUAUAGCAGUGCGCCGCCUCGUGCAUUCGAGCACGGCCUUCGGCCUCGAACUCUACCUACUGCGGCCGCCUUGUAGGCUGCCCCAGAGCCGCUCCUCCCAGCAUGCUGGUCGAUACCGAUGGUGCAUCUCUCUCUCAGGCGGCUGAGGCCUCCCACACCAGUUGGCGGCGUGAGCGCGGGGGGGGGGUAACAGGUACGUUCGAGUUGCGCGGACACACUCUGCCUAAUCCUAUGGACGGCGCAAGCGUGUUCGCUGUCGCGGGCCGCUCCGAUGCAAUGCCAUCCAGGCCCUGACCGCCAAC